rnacentral:tRNA from 1 species
GCCUGGCUGGCUCAGUUGGUAGAUCAUGUGACUCUUGAUCUCAGGGUGGUGAGUUCGAGCCCCACACUAGGUG